ACCAGACUCCUACGGGAGGCAGCAGUGAGGAAUAUUGGUCAAUGGGCGGAAGGCUGAACCAGCCAAGCCGCGUGAAGGACGAAGGUGCCAAGCAUUGUAAACUUCUUUUGUCAAGGGACAAAAUCAGGCUCGAGAGCCUGACCGAGGGUACUUGAAGAAAAAGCAUCGGCUAACUCCGUGCCAGCAGCCGCGGUAAUACGGAGGAUGCGAGCGUUAUCCGGAUUUAUUGGGUUUAAAGGGUGCGUAGGCGGAAUAUCAAGUCAGCGGUAAAAAUUCGGGGCUCAACCCCGUCGUGCCGUUGAAACUGAUGUUCUUGAGUGGGCGAGAAGUAUGCGGAAUGCGUGGUGUAGCGGUGAAAUGCAUAGAUAUCGCGCAGAACUCCGAUUGCGAAGGCAGCAUGCCGGCUCCACACUGACGCUGAGGCACGAAAGCGUGGGUAUCGAACAGGAUUAGAUACCCCGGUA
rnacentral:rRNA from 1 species